UACGUAGGGUGCAAGCGUUGAUCGGAAUUACUGGGCGUAAAGCGUGCGCAGGCGGUUAUGUAAGACAGGUGUGAAAUCCCAGGGCUUAACCUUGGAACUGCAUUUGUGACUGCAUAGCUAGAGUACGGUAGAGGGGGAUGGAAUUCCGCGUGUAGCAGUGAAAUGCGUAGAUAUGCGGAGGAACACCGAUGGCGAAGGCAAUCCCCUGGACCUGUACUGACGCUCAUGCACGAAAGCGUGGGGAGCAAACAGG
rnacentral:rRNA from 1 species